AAUGUCGUUCUCGUCGAUUCAGCAUAGCUUUGCCCGUUUGAAGUCGAGUUUCUAUCCCUUCAAGAUGUUGUUGGAUUUUAUCCCGAUGGAAGAGGAAUAUCAAAAGUUUCCAGUUGUAGUUUUGCCCCAAAAGGCUCUAUAAAGGAAAUUCGAUAUUAGAGAAGAUUCUUUGAAAGGGAUAACAAGGACUUGCCUAAUCCCAAGAGUUCAGAUCCGAUUCGAAAAAAGGAAAAGAAAAGAGAGAAAAAAUCAAAAUCAAAAUAAAAAACAAAAAGAAAAAAAUCAAAGGUAAAAGCAAAAAGAGAAAUCAAUCAAAGUCAAAAUAAAAUAUGAAAAGCAAAAAAG
rnacentral:lncRNA from 1 species